GGAGAGAUGCUCGAGUGGUUGAAGAGGCACGCCUGGAAAGCGUGUAAACCCCUAAAGGGUUUCGCGGGUUCGAAUCCCGCUCUCUCCGCAA
rnacentral:tRNA from 7 species